rnacentral:rRNA from 1 species
CUAAGUACAUGCCGUAUUAAGGCGAAACCGCGAAUGGCUCAUUAAAUCAGUUAUGGUUCCUUGGAUCGUACCUUACUACUUGGAUAACUGUGGUAAUUCUAGAGCUAAUACAUGCAGCAGAGCUCCGACCUUCGGGGACGAGCGCUUUUAUUAGACCAAAACCAAUCGGACUCUGUCCGUCUCUUGUGGUGACUCUGAAUAACUUUGGGCUGAUCGCACGGGCCCGUCCCGGCGACGUAUCUUUCAAGUGUCUGCCUUAUCAACUUUCGAUGGUAGGUUACGCGCCUACCAUGGUCGUAACGGGUAACGGGGAAUCAGGGUUCGAUUCCGGAGAGGGAGCCUGAGAAACGGCUACCACAUCCAAGGAAGGCAGCAGGCGCGCAAAUUACCCACUCCCAGAACGGGGAGGUAGUGACGAAAAAUAACAAUACGGGACUCUUUUGAGACCCCGUAAUUGGAAUGAGUACACUCUAAAUCCUUUAACGAGGAUCCAUUGGAGGGCAAGUCUGGUGCCAGCCGCCGCGGUAACUCCAGCUCCAAUAGCGUAUAUUAAAGUUGUUGCGGUUAAAAAGCUCGUAGUUGGAUCUCAGUUCCAGACGGGUGGUCCGCCUACCGGUGGUUACUGCCUGUUCUGAACAGCCAGCCGGUUUCUCUUGAUGAUCUUCACCGGUUGUCUUGGGUGACCGGCAAGUUUACUUUGAAAAAAUUAGAGUGCUCAAAGCAGGCGCGACGCCUGAAUAAUGGUGCAUGGAAUAAUGGAAUAGGACCUCGGUUCUAUUUUGUUGGUUUUCGGAACACGAGGUAAUGAUUAAGAGGGACAGACGGGGGCAUUCGUAUUGCGACGCUAGAGGUGAAAUUCUUGGACCGUCGCAGGACGAACUACUGCGAAAGCAUUUGCCAAGAAUGUUUCCAUUAAUCAAGAACGAAAGUUAGAGGUUCGAAGGCGAUCAGAUACCGCCCUAGUUCUAACCAUAAACGAUGCCAGCCAGCGAUCCGGCUGUGUUCCUCAAAUGACACGCCGGGCAGCUUCCGGGAAACCAAAGCUUUUGGGUUCCGGGGGAAGUAUGGUUGCAAAGCUGAAACUUAAAGGAAUUGACGGAAGGGCACCACCAGGAAUGGAGCCUGCGGCUUAAUUUGACUCAACACGGGAAAACUCACCCGGCCCGGACACAGGAAGGAUUGACAGAUUAAGAGCUCUUUCUUGAUUCUGUGGGUGGUGGUGCAUGGCCGUUCUUAGUUGGUGGAGCGAUUUGUCUGGUUAAUUCCGAUAACGAACGAGACUCUAGCCUACUAAAUAGACGUUCCGAUCACUCCAGUCGGGCG